GACGAACGUUGGCGGCGUGCUUAAUACAUGCAAGUCAACUGAAGCAGUGGUAGCAAUAUCGCUGUGGAGGUGGCGCACGGGUGAGUAACACGUAGGUAAUCUGCCUUCAGGUCUGGCAUAACUCCGGGAAACCGGGGCUAAUAGCAGAUGAUGCAGCGGCUCGACAUCGAGACAGUUGUUAAAGCUAUGGCGCCUGAAGAUGAGCCUGCGUCUGAUUAGCUAGUUGGCGGGGUAACGGCCCACCAAGGCAACGAUCAGUAGCUGGUCUGAGAGGAUGAUCAGCCACAAUGGAACUGAGACACGGUCCAGACUCCUACGGGAGGCAGCAGUAAGGAAUAUUGCUCAAUGGGAGAAAUCCUGAAGCAGCAACGCCGCGUGAGGGACGAAGGGCUUUUGCUUGUAAACCUCUGUAGUGAGAGAAAAAAAUCCCAAUCUUUGGGACAUGAUGGUAUCUCAAAAGUAAGCCCCGGCUAACUACGUG
rnacentral:rRNA from 1 species